AGCCACCUUCGGGUGGUGGACAGUGGCAGACGGGUGAGUAACGCGUGGGAACGUGCCUUUCGGUUCUGGAUAACCCAGGGAAACUUGGGCUAAUACCGGAUACGCCCUUCGGGGGAAAGAUUCAUUGCCGAAAGAUCGGCCCGCGUCGGAUUAGCCAGUUGGUGGGGUAAUGGCCUACCAAGGCGACGAUCCGUAGCUGGUCUGAGAGGAUGACCAGCCACACUGGGACUGAGACACGGCCCAGACUCCUACGGGAGGCAGCAGUGGGGAAUAUUGGACAAUGGGCGAAAGCCUGAUCCAGCCAUGCCGCGUGGGUGAAGAAGGCCUUAGGG
rnacentral:rRNA from 1 species